GAGACCACCAAACUGCGUCAUUGUGUGAUGGCGAUACAAUCAGACAGCAGCCCAGAAGAAUAAAAAUCGGGAGAAAUAGGCACGUUCACAAGGAAUCGACGACAGAAGCGGAAAUUAGCUACGUGGGACCCUUACUCAUGCUCUCUAUUUUGACUACUUACUAUGAACUACGUAGUAUUAAUUUCAGUGGAAUAUGCCAAGACCCCCAAGGUGUUGUCAAUUAAGUAGGUCGGCCCAAGGAAUUAAGCCAGGUAGAUUAUGGUUCUAGCCAAGCAUGGACGUAGUGACAUGUAUGGCAUAUGCAAGGUAUACCCCAAAUUCAAAUACUAUGUAAGUCACGCAAGGCGCCUACUACGUACAUAGUAGCCAUCAUAUCUCCCAUGUCCUCAAAGGCGGCCCGCAAUCUCGCAGUGGCACAUACAUGCGAUCAUCGUUCUGACAGUUAACUGUGGCGAGAUGUCCAAUUCAUAGGUCAAUAGCCGGUGAGUCACGGCACUGGACGGAAAUGGGGACAUCGGUACGUCGAAGAAGGGAAUAUCACAAAAAAAAAAAAGGGAAAAAAAAAAGGAAAAAUUUUUUAUCAGAAAAUUUUGUCUUUGUGCACGGUGAAUCUGGUUGGAGGAUAAAUUCUACUAUGAGUUAAGAUGGAUGGCAUGAUAAUGGAGGGAGGUAUUCUCUGGCGUGUGUGGAAUGGAUGGAUGGAUGGAUGGAUACUCGGGUCAGCCCACUUUUCGAGGAUAAUUCGGAUACCGUUGCCGAGAAGCAAGUAAGCUUUCGAUUGACGUCACCUGAUACUGAAAAAGUUUGUGGCAUUGUUAUGAUUAGCUUUCUUCUAGUUCUCAUUUCUUUUGUCAGUUUGUCGAGUACAUGACGAGAGCAGAGGCUGAACUCUCCUCCUCGAUGGUCAGCAGUUUGGAGAAGCUGAUACACCAGCUGUGUCCCAGACUCCCAGUGGGCAUCAUAGCCAAGCCGGAAUAAGCAAGCCUGCCCAACAGAGAUUGAUUCAUCUUUGCAACAACCAAAAUGAUGCGUGCAAAAGAGAAGGAUGACGUCAAUCCCCAUUCUGCAAACGCACCAUUCCACAUUGGGUAAUCAUCCGGCGCUAUUCCGUUUCUGGUUAGCGGUCGAUCGUCGCCCACCGGCACCGACGGUCUUGGCAUAUUUCAUCUUUUACUAUGGGAUUCUUCACGAGUCUGCAAGACUGGCGAAUUGUUCCGCCGUCUUCCGUCACACAAUGCGACUCGGCUCCCUCGAGACUCUCUCUCUCUCCGCUCAUGCAUGAGAUGAGUUGUCAGAUGACCCUCGAUAUGAUUGAUAUCUCUGCAGAUAUGCAUCUACGUCAAUCCGGCACACUCCGAUACGUGCCAGACUGGAAAAGUCGGGGUAGACCGUAGACAAGAAUGUGGCAGGGUGAAAUGUGAAUAUAGGGUUGACACUUGACACAUUCCUGACCUCCUAGUUGAAUUUAAUCAAAGCCCUAACUACUUAAUGUUGACAAUGUGAUGCCCCGCCGUAUCCUGCCGGGUUUACCUUGCAGACCAUGAUGCAAGGCUUUUCUUACGUACUCGCGAUUGAUAGACCUCAUGAGGUACUCGUUAAUCACUUAUUUGAUACAAAAUUACCGUGUGGUCAAUAUGUCAUCCCCUCAAAGCAGGGCUGUCUCUACCAAGGGCGAGUCCUCAAUACCCAAUCUUCGACAACCCUUACCGUCCAGGGUAAAAGGAAGGUUACUAUGCCCUUCCAAUCCUUGAUUGGUCUGCUCAACUUUGGAAGGGGGGCGCCCCAUUGGAUUGAUUAUAGGUAUGGAACGAGGUCUUGUACGAGAUGCAGGGAGCUGUGUUUAAUCUCUCCCCACCUAUGUAGCUAGCACAUGAGGAAUUCUUGUUGGAUACUCGUUGCCAAUCCAAUUCCUCAGG
rnacentral:lncRNA from 1 species